rnacentral:rRNA from 1 species
GACGUAGGGCGCGAGCGUUGUCCGGAUUUAUUUGGGCGUAAAGAGCUCGUAGGCGGCUUUGUCGCGUCGUUCGUGAAAAACCCCGGGGGCUCAAACUCCGGGGCUUGCGGGGCGAUACGGGCAGGCUAGAGUUCGGUAGGGAGACUGGAAUUUCCUGGUGUAGCGGUGAAAUGCGCAGAUAUCAGGAGGAACACCGGUGGCGAAGGCGGUCUCUGGCCGAUACUGACGCUGAGGAGCGAAGCGUGGAGCGAACAGG